GACGAACGCUGGCGGCGUGCCUAAUACAUGCAAGUCGAACGCACUCUCGUUUAGAUUGAAGGAGCUUGCUCCUGAUUGAUAAACAUUUGAGUGAGUGGCGGACGGGUGAGUAACACGUGGGUAACCUGCCCUAAAGUGGGGGAUAACAUUUGGAAACAGAUGCUAAUACCGCAUAAAACCUAAACACCGCAUGGUGUAGGGUUGAAAGAUGGUUUCGGCUAUCACUUUAGGAUGGACCCGCGGUGCAUUAGUUAGUUGGUGAGGUAAAGGCUCACCAAGACCGUGAUGCAUAGCCGACCUGAGAGGGUAAUCGGCCACACUGGGACUGAGACACGGCCCAGACUCUACGGGAGCAGCAGUAGGGAAUCUUCCACAAUGGACGAAAGUCUGAUGAGCAACGCCGCGUGAGUGAAGAAGGUUUUCGGAUCGUAAAACUCUAGUUGUUGGAGAAGAAUGUAUCUGAUAGUAACUGAUCAGGUAGUGACGGUAU
rnacentral:rRNA from 1 species